rnacentral:rRNA from 1 species
UACGUAGGGUGCAAGCGUUGUCCGGAAUUAUUGGGCGUAAAGAGCUCGUAGGCGGUUCGUCGCGUCGGCUGUGAAAACCCGGAGCUCAACUCCGGGCCUGCAGUCGAUACGGGGCGGACUAGAGUUCGGCAGGGGAGACUGGAAUUCCUGGUGUAGCGGUGAAAUGCGCAGAUAUCAGGAGGAACACCGAUGGCGAAGGCAGGUCUCUGGGCCACUACUGACGCUGAGAAGCGAAAGCAUGGGGGAGCGAACAGG